GCCCAGCCCCGAUGCCAUGUCUUCCGAGAAGCCGUCUCCUCGCACGGCCCCACCACACAGAGCCCUGAUGUAAUCACAGAACAAGCCCUGCUCCUGUUACAGAUGUCAGCUUCCUGAGGGCACAGGCUGGUCCCCUGUUCGCCGCCCCUCCCUGACCCUUCACUCAUUCCACAAAGACUUACGUGGGGCCCACCUGUGCCACCUGGAGGAGGAAAUGGCAACCUACUCCAGCAUUCUUGCCUGGAGAAUCCCAUGGACAGAGGAGCCUGGCACGCUACAGUCCAUGGGGUUGCAAAGAGUCGGACACGACUGAAGCGACUUAGCACGCAUGCAUGCACCUAUGCCAAGUGCAAAGCAGGCAUGGACCCUGAUCUUGUGGGUUUUCAUUUUGCAGAAAAGCCGGGUGUUCUCAGGCCAGUUACGAGCAGUUGUGUGAAGGGAUGGAACAGAAUGUGGCAGAGGGCUGCUCUGAGGCUGUCGGGGGCUGGGAUGAACAGGAGGAACCCACAGGACAAGUCAAGAGAAAUUUCCAGAAGACACUGAAGUUGGUUUUGGCAGCACGUCUGACGUCCUGGGUCCAGCUACAAGAGCCUCUCAGAUGGAGAGCCGCAUCCUGGGGAACCAAGUGCAACCCCACAGAUGAGCAUCACAGUGAGUGUGUACAUCAGGUCCAUAGCUCGGACAGGAAGGCAGCUGCGAGCAGUCACUGCAGAGGAAAAGCUGCAUCACGUGUGCGCUGAGGGGAGAUGGGCAGCACCUGGUGGGUCUUCCUGUCCCACCUGCAAGUAGGGGUCCUCCUCAUAGGCCACCUUCAGACCCAGAGUAAGUGACACAGAGACACCUCCGGGGCAACAGGAAAGGUGCCAGCAGCUCGAGGAGGUAUAAGUGGAGAGUGUGUGACUCAGAGGUCACAGUCGUGUUUCUGCUGUUAUUGUGUUAGUCGCUCAGUCAUAUCGGACUCUGUGUGACGCCAUGGACUGUAUCCCGUCAGGUUCCUCUGUCCGUGGAUUUCCCAGGCAGGAAUGCUGGAGUGGGUUGCCAUUUCCUUCUCCAUGGGAUCUUCUGCAUCCAGGGAUCAAAGCCAUGUCUCCUGCAUUGGAAGGCAGGUUCUUUACCACUGAGCCACCUGGGAAGCCCAUCGUGUUUCUAUCAGAGCAUUUAUCUGGUUGCUAGAGAUAAAAACCCGCCAGCGCUGUCUGGGAAUAGUGAAGAAUCGACACUCUUGCCACGUCUGUUAAGUUCCCACCAGAUUACUCUGAACGAGGGGACUGAGUUGCUUGUGAUUGACACAUACAUUUUUCUUUAACAGAUUGGCUGGGAUUGAUAAUUAUUCUUUGCAUUAAAAAAAGAAAAGAAUCCAAAUGCUGGAGGACUCAUCCUCUCUUCAAUCUAAGUUGCUACAGAAUUUCUUAAAGUUAUGAUGUCAAGGGUCUCAUUUAUUGGAGAGUCACAAAUCACUUUCCAUGGGCAGAUGGGACAGGGCACUCGACCUGUGGCUUCAAGAACAGACACCAUCCUCCAAAUGAGGUUAUGAAAAAGGCUUGAAAAUAUCUUUGAUGUGUUUUUAGAUGCAUUUAUUAUCCAAAGUGAGCCAAAUACAGAAUUGUUAUUAAAAAAAUAAUAACCUCAGGAUUAAAAUAUUAUAGUUUAAUGUUUUAAUUAAACUUUAAAUGUUUAAUUAAAUGCUCUAAUGCACAUUAAAUGUUUUAAUGUUUAACAUUAAGAAGCAGAGUUUAGAAU
rnacentral:lncRNA from 1 species